rnacentral:rRNA from 1 species
CAGUCGAACGAGCGAGAGAGAGCUUGCUUUCUCGAGCGAGUGGCGAACGGGUGACUAUCGCGUGAGGAACCUGCCUCAAAGAGGGGGACAACAGUUGGAAACGACUGCUAAUACCGCAUAAGCCCACAGCUCGGCAUCGAGCAGAGGGAAAAGGAGCAAUCCGCUUUGAGAUGGCCUCGCGUCCGAUUAGCUAGUUGGUGAGGUAACGGCCCACCAAGGCAACGAUCGGUAGCCGGACUGAGAGGUUGAACGGCCACAUUGGGACUGAGACACGGCCCAGACUCCUACGGGAGGCAGCAGUGGGGAAUAUUGCACAAUGGGGGAAACCCUGAUGCAGCGACGCCGCGUGGAGGAAGAAGGUCUUCGGAUUGUAAACUCCUGUUGUUGAGGAAGAUAAUGACGGUACUCAACAAGGAAGUGACGGCUAACUACGUGCCAGCAGCCGCGGUAAAACGUAGGUCACAAGCGUUGUCCGGAAUUACUGGGUGUAAAGGGAGCGCAGGCGGGAAGACAAGUUGGAAGUGAAAUCUAUGGGCUCAACCCAUAAACUGCUUUCAAAACUGUUUUUCUUGAGUAGUGCAGAGGUAGGCGGAAUUCCCGGUGUAGCGGUGGAAUGCGUAGAUAUCGGGAGGAACACCAGUGGCGAAGGCGGCCUACUGGGCACCAACUGACGCUGAGGCUCGAAAGUGUGGGUAGCAAACAGGAUUAGAUACCCUGGUAGUCCA